ensembl:lncRNA
AUGGGGUCUUAUGGGGGUUUUAUGGGGUCCUAUGGGGGCUUAAAGGGGUCCUAUGGGGUCUUUAUGGGGUCCUAAGGGGUCUUAUGGGGGCUUUAUGGGGUCCUAUGGGGGCUUAAAGGGGUCCUAUGGGGUCUUUAUGGGGUCCUAUGGGGCUCUAUGGGGCAAUAUGGGGUCCUAUGGGGUCCUUAUAGGGUCCUAUUGGGUCCUUAUGGGGUCCUAUGGGGCUCUACGGGGUCCUAUGGGGACCUUAUGGGGUUAUAUGGGGGGUUUAUGGGGUCCUAUAGGGGCUUAAAGGGGUUCUAUGGGGUCCUAUGGGGUUCUAUGGGGUCUUUAUGGCGUUCUACGGGACUCUAUGGGGUCCUUAUGGGGUUUUAUGGGGUCUUAUGGGGUCCUAUGCGGCUCUAUGAGGUCUUAUGGGAUCCUAUGGGGUCCUAUGGGGUCCUAUGGGGUCCUAUGGGGCUCUAUGGGGUCCUAUGGGGUCCUUAUGGGGUUUUAUGGGGUCCCUAUGAGGUCCUUAUGAGGCUCUGUGGGGCUCUAUUGGGUCUUUAUGGGGAUCUAUGGGGUCCUAUGGGGCUCUAUGGGGUCCUUAUGGGGGCUUAAAAGGGUCUUAUGGGGUUCUAUGGGGUCCUUAUGGGGUCCUAUGGGGUUCUUAUGGGGUUUUAUGGGGUCCAAUGGGGUCCUAUGGGGCUCUAUGAGGUCUUAUGGGGUUCUAUGGGGUCCUUAUGGGGUUCUUAUGGGGUUCUAUGGGGUCUUUAUGGGGUCCUAUAGGGU